UCGGAUAUGGUGUAACGGUUUAACAUUGCCGCCUCUCAGUGAACCUGUCACGUGACCGCGGCAGCUCGGGGUUCGAUUCCCCGUACCCGAA